GACGAACGCUGGCGGCGUGCUUAACACAUGCAAGUCGAACGAAGUGGCGAACGGGUGAGUAACGCGUAAACAACCUGCCCUUCAGAGGGGGGAAACAGUUGGAAACGACUGCUAAUAUCGCAUACUGAUGGAGUGGAUUGCGUCUGAGGAGCCUGUGGGAGGGGUAAUGGCCGACCAAGGCGAUGAUCAGUAGCCGGUGUGAGAGGAUGAGUGGCGACAUUGAGACUGGAACACGGCCCAGACUCCUACGGGAGGCAGCAGUGGGUAAUCUUCCGAAAUGGAAGAAAGUCUGACGGAGCAACGCCGCGUGAGUGAUGACGGCCUUCGGUUUGUAAGGCUCUUUUAAUCGGGACGCGGUACCGGAAUAGAAAGCCACGGCUAACUACGUGCCAGCAGCCGCGGUAAUAC
rnacentral:rRNA from 1 species